AGGAAGCACUCGGGUGUUAUUUUAUUUGUGAUUUGCUGUUAUUUAUUUAUUGAAGUGGCCUUUCCCCCAAAGGAGCACAGUAUGCAGAAAAACGGAAAGGAGGGACCUGCUCCAUCUUGUAAGCUGACAUGAAGAAAGCCACUGUCAUCAUUUUCAAUGUUCUGCUGCCGACAAAGCGGUUCUGGAAUCCGCAGUGAGUGGCCACUCGAGAGCCAGGACCGAGCCUCGCCGCUAGGGGGAGUUCAGCUCGUAGGACCGGAAGUGCAAUUUAAUUUCUCAAACCUGGAAACCACAGAGGAGCUCAAAGUGUUUAUUGCAAGACUGGUGGAUCAUCCAGUUUCCCCUUUUGCAGAUGAAGAAACUGAGGUCCACCAAGGUUGGAGGACGUGUUGCCCAAUGUCACCCAGGACAUCAGGGCAGAACUGGGACUUGCCCUCAAGCUGAGUGUCCGUCCCAUCCCCGGGCAUCUCUGCCUUCUUGACACAGGAAAACCAAGUUUCUCGGCAGGGGGUGUGCACGAGAUAGUCCAGCCCGAGGCGGGUGCCAUAGAAGCCCUGCCCCCCACCGGCCCUGCUGGAAAGUUUCCAUUUCAGGGUUUGCCUUCUUCAUAGCAGUGUCUCAAACCCCUUAGUCCUUUAGACAAAAUAAUAAUGAUAACAAUCAUAACAAUAACAGUUGCAUAAGCCGAGCUGUGGUGGGGAACAGGAUUUACAAUUCGGAUUGUUUUCAGAAAACACCUCUGUAUUUAGCAAUAAUAUUAUGGAAGUAGCAAUAAAGUUAUCUGCUUCUCAUGAAGGGAAAGUGGGAGGACAACACAACUUUACAGAGUGCGCAAUACAGAACAAAGGGUCUGGGGGCCUCUGUCUGCCCUCAAGUUUUCAUCUACC